rnacentral:misc_RNA from 1 species
GAUGAAGAACGUAGCGAAAUGCGAUAAGUAAUGUGAAUUGCAGAAUUCAGUGAAUCAUCGAAUCUUUGAACGCACAUUGCGCCCCCUGGUAUUCCGGGGGGCAUGCCUGUUCGAGCGUCAUUUCACCACUCAAGCCUCGCUUGGUAUUGGGCAACGCGGUCCGCCGCGUGCAUCAAAUCGACCGGCUGGGUCUUCUGUCCCCUAAGCGUUGUGGAAACUAUUCGCUAAAGGGUGUUCGGGAGGCUACGCCGUAAAACAACCCCAUUUCUAAGGUUGACCUCGGAUCAGGUAGGGAUACCCGCUGAACUUAAGCAUAUCAAUAAGCGGAGGA